AUCGCUUCUCGGCCUUUUGGCUAAGAUCAAGUGUAGUAUCUGUUCUUAUCAGUUUAAUAUCUGAUAUGUCCUCCAGUGGAGGACAACAUAUUAAGCUGAUUUUUGAAGAACGGAUGUGAAGGUGGAGCUUGCUCUAUUCACUCCAUGCAUUGACCCAGUAUUGCAGUGUUUCUGGGAACAGUGCCCACAUC
rnacentral:snRNA from 12 species